UUUACUUACACUGCGCUGUCAGCUGGCGAGAAUUGCUGACAGUAAAGAUCAUGUCUUUCCUGUGAAUGAUGGUUUUGAAGCCCUGCAGGGAAUUAUUGAUUCUAUUUUGAAGAAAUCAUGUAUUGAAAUUCUGGCUGCAGAACCUUCCAGUAUAUGUGCAGGAGAGUCAUUUCAGGUUGUUGUGAGAGGGAAUGGAUUUCGACAUGCUCGUAACGUCGACAGAGUCCUCUGCAGCUUCAGGAUCAAUGACACAGUCACUCUCAAUCAAAAAAGCUGCAGGCUGACUGGACAGGGUCCAAAGGAAGGCCAAGAAGAUGAUCCAAGGACUGAAGAAUCUGCCUUACAUGGAAAUACUGAAAGAAUUAAAUGUAUUUGCCCUGGAGAAGAGGGGACCCUACCACAAUAUUCCAGUACUUGAAGGGCAGCUACAAGGACAAAAGAAGCUCCCUAUUUGCAAGAACAAACAUGGAGAAGAAAACAGAGAAUGGGCACUUCAACUUCACUGGGAUAGGUUCUUUCUUUACUUAAGAGACAUUUCUUCACAGCAAGAUCAGUCAACCACUGGUACAGCAUCCCCAGAGAUGUGGUGGAAUCCCAGUCUUGGUUUUUAUAGUAUAAUUUGACAGGGUGCUAGAUAAUCUCAUCUAGGCUCCCUUUUCCCAUGUAAGGUUGUAGCUGACAGUCUUUCAAGGUCCUUUCCAGUCUAGGAAGAUUGUAAGAAAAAGAUUGAAAGAAGAAAGCUCAGAGUCUAAUGACCUGAAAUAUGUGGGUCUUGGCCUUUUUAAUUAGAAGUUUUAAAAUAUGCAGUAGACAAAUGUGGUCUCUGUCCCGCAGCCUAGUUCUCUUCCUCCUGGUUUAUGGGCUCCUCCAGUAGCUAGAGAUUUGGUGCAGAUCUCCUUUUUCAGAGGUCAUCCUUCUUUUCUCUCCUGUGUAAAGCCUGUUCAGCAUUCUAUUUGCUGCUCCACUUUUUCUCUUGUCUAUAGCUUGAAAGUUCCCUCUUUACUUGAGGCUACACUGGCUUUGACCUGCCAUCUGUGCUGCAUCUCAAUAGUUUCAAAGCUCAGCUUUCUGGCACUGAUGCAAGACAUUCAUUCCUGGAAA